GGGACGGGACGAGCCGUCAGCCCGGCCACGUGGGGGGGGCGUGGAUGUGAGUGCCCGAAGCAAGUGCAGCCUCAGCGGUUUUGUGCGGUUGAACGUGAAAUUCUGAUGAAUGCAAUCCCCAGCCAAAAAGAAAAAUGGUGCGCAGUUUGUCAAAUCGGAUGUGCUGCGUUGUGGAAUGCACAUGCUGCAGCAGGUGUCACAGAGAAUCAACAUUGGGAGGCCUGGCGAGCAGUUCAUCUAUCUCCAGAGAGCCACACGACUGUCGGACCCUGGGACUGCUAUGGUCAAGGAAGGAACCUGUAUGGGAAUUCCCUGAGCUGUCCGGCAAGCAGAGUGAGUCACCCCGUUCCAGCCACCCAGGACCAAGGUGUCACCUCUUCCCAGCUGGUGGGUGGGGGCAGCAGCUAGCUGCAAUCCAGUCGGGGCCCUGCUGCCAAGGCUCCCCUCCCUCUGUUCUUACAUCCCCACGCCUCGUGGGCGGGGGGGGCAUCAUAGUAAAAUUUAAAAGAAAAAAUGUGUGUGUGUGGAAAGCCUCUGAAAGCAGCAGCAUUUUCACACUAGCACCAUGGGCAAGUACCUCAAGUUGCUCGCCCUGCCCGUGCCAGGUCUGCAGGCAGCUGUCCUCCCAGGAGGUAAGACUUUUCUGGACAAGGUGCAGGGCUCAGGGGGCCCCUCAAGCAGCACCUCUGCAAUCCCUGAUGCCAGAAAAGCUAGGCCUGACACUCCCGGGAAGGGUCGAAGGCAGGGGGCACUUCCUGAUUCUACCCUGAAGGAAGCGGGGUGCCCUGCUGCAGGUGAACCUCCUGUUUGCUACAAGCACCAUUUCCUGCUGGGCUGGUGGUUCACU